GAACCAAGUAGCAAACAACUAUGUAGUAGCAGGCUGCAGCUACACACAACCGUAGCACUUUAACAGGUGAGGCCGACAGCACUGUUGGUGAGAAAAAAAGAAAAUGAGUGCUACCCCCGACAGAAACGCAGAUGAAGGCUCAACAGAUGAAGACAUCGUCAACAACACUAACAUGACAACCUCGGUGGUGUGAAGGUAUUUUGUUUUUUUGAGGUCAGACAUGAAGCAGAGUAAUGUGCACUGCAAAUCAUGUCGAGUACAUGUUCUUGCAAAGUCGGGGAAUACCUCAAACCUUUUUCACUACCUGAAGCAGCGCCACGCGGUACAGCAUGCGCAAUGCAAAAGGUUACAAACCCCAAGCGCUGCAAAAAGCCUACGGUGCCUGAGCAGCCAAAACAGCCAACCAUCCAGUCCGCUUUCUCUAGCGCAACGCCUUAUGACAAUAUGUCAGAACAUCGAAAAUGUGGUGAGACGCCUCUUCUUCCUGUUUUAUUUUAGUUUAACUUCCUGUUUUCCUUGUGUUCCUGGUCUGGCUUGACUGUUGUUUCAGUGCACUUUCCCUUCCCCCGGUCGCUGAGGCUGAGUGAGACUCCACACCUGCUCUGCAAUCAAGGUCCUUGAAGAAGCCAGCAGCCCUCAGUCUCAGCGCCUGAGUAUUGUCUUCACGCCUGAGUGGUACAGACGCUUCUCCUGGCCUUUCCCCUUGUUAAGUGCGUGUGACUUUUGCUCCCUGUGAUUCCUUGUAUUACUUCUAACCUUAUUCUCAUCUGUUCGUCCACAGUGUCUCCAGCCCACACAACAGCCAGCCAGCAAACCGGACUUUCUCUCGUGCCUUUUUCCCUGAUUUGGAC